UACACGUUCUUGUAUUAAUUACCUGCGUGCCGCGCGUGGCCUGGAGACUGAAGCGCGUGUGAUUGAGCGGAAGGUAGAUUUUUCGGUUGGUUGAUUUUCAAAAGGAGCUCCUUUUGACGCUGGGCUUUGAUGAAAAUGAAGAGUGGCUUCGAAAGGGAAGAGGUGGUGGACAUGGCACAUAGAGUCAAAGACACCAUUUUCAAUAGGCUCACUCCACCCAAAUUCCAGCACUUGAAACCUCUUUCUGUAUAUUCAAGGAUGAUCACUUGUGACCCAAAGGCCAGUGUGCAUUGCC